UACGGAGGGUGCAAGCGUUAUCCGGAUUCACUGGGUUUAAAGGGUGCGUAGGCGGGCAGGUAAGUCAGUGGUGAAAUCUCCGAGCUUAACUCGGAAACUGCCGUUGAUACUAUUUGUCUUGAAUAUUGUGGAGGUAAGCGGAAUAUGUCAUGUAGCGGUGAAAUGCUUAGAUAUGACAUAGAACACCAAUUGCGAAGGCAGCUUACUACACAAUGAUUGACACUGAGGCACGAAAGCGUGGGGAUCAAACAGG
rnacentral:rRNA from 1 species